UUAAGGAUGUAUUCUUCUGACUUUUCAGUCUCGUUCAGUCUCGUUGAAAUCUCGUUCUUGAAUUAUUUCCAAAAUAUGUGAUAGAAGUGAAAAAUAUCAAUGAAUUUUAAAAAUAUUAUAAGCAAACAUAAAUCUGUGAAAAAAUUGUGUAUUUACAAUGAAUGGUUUUUGCGGAAUCCAGUUUUCAAAUUUUACGACCAAUCAAGUCAGUAUUUUUAGCCAAAAUUUUGAGAAAAUGGGUGAGGGAUACAAAAAAUGAUUUUACAAGAAUCAUGUACAUCCCAUAUCAUUUUGGUCUUUUCAAAUUUCUUUGAUAUGUCUUUUGUCAUUCAUUUAUAACAAAAAAGUUGAAAUAAUAUGCAUUUUGUUCUUAAAACUGAGAAAAAUCACAAAAAUACAAAAUUGACAGCAUGGUAAAUUUUACACAAAAAAGCGUCAAAAUAUGAUAAAACUUUCUUAUAUUAACACCUACCUAUAGUUUUUGUAAGUAAAAUUUAUUCAGAUUGGUCCACUUCAUCUUUAUAGAAAGUAUGAGAAAAAGUUUAAUUGUG
rnacentral:lncRNA from 1 species